rnacentral:hammerhead_ribozyme from 1 species
AUCCGGCUGACGAGUCUCAAAUAGGACGAACUGGCGCGCGUCCUGGAU